rnacentral:lncRNA from 1 species
GGGGGACGUCGCUAUGGGGCGCUAUGGGGAUGGGGAGGUUGCUAUGGGGAUGCGGUUGUUGCUAUGGUGACAGGGACGUCGCUAUGGGGAUGAGGAGGUUGCUAUGGGGAUGGGGAUGUCGCUAUGGGGCACAGGGAGGUCGACUAUGGGGCGCUAUGGGGCGGGGGGACGUCGCUAUGGGGCGCUAUGGGGGGUGGAGAUGUCGCUAUGGGGCUGGGGAUGUUGCUAUGGUGACAGGGAUGUUGCUAUGGGGCAUGGGGACGUCACUAUGGGGCACUAUGGGGAUGGAGACGCCACUAUGGGGCGCUAUGGGGAUGGGGAUGUCGCUAUGGGGAUGGGGAUGUUGCUAUGGGGCACAGGGAGGUCGACUAUGGGGCGCUAUGGGGCGGGGGGACGUCGCUAUGGGACGCUAUGGGGGGUGGAGAUGUCGCUAUGGGGAUGGGGAUGUUGCUAUGGGGAUGGGGAUGUCGCUAUGGGGAUGGGGCUGUUGCUAUGGGGAUGGGGACGUCGCUAUGGGGAUGGGGCUGUCGCUAUGGGGCAGGGGGCCGUCGCUAUGGGGCAGGGGGCCAUUGCUAUGGGGCAUAGAUAUGUCGCUAUGGGGACGGGGAUGUUGCUAUGGUGACAGGGAUGUUGCUAUAGGGACAAGGAUGUUGCUAUGGGGCAUAGAUAUGUCACUAUGGGGUUGGGGCCGUCGCUAUGGGGCAGGGGGACAUUGCUAUGGGGCAGGGGGCCAUUGCUAUGGGGCAGGGGCCUCGCACCAGGCACGGCGGGGGGCAUUGCUAUGGGGAUGGGGCCGUCGCUAUGGGGCAGGGGCCGUCGCUAUGGGGUUGGGGCUGCUGCUAUGGGGAUGGGGCUGUCGCUAUGGGGCAGGGGGACAUCGCUAUGGGGCACAGAGAUGUCGCUAUGGGGAUGGGGCUGUCGCUAUGGGGCAGGGGGCCGUCGCUAUGGGGCAGGGGCUGUCGCUAUGGGGCAGGGGGCCAUCGCUAUGGGGCAGGGGGCCGUCGCUAUGGGGCAUAGAUAUGUCGCUAUGGGGCUGGGGAUGUUGCUAUGGGGAUGGGGCUGUCGCUAUGGGGAUGGGGCUGUCGCUAUGGGGCAGGGGGCCGUCGCUAUGGGGCAGGGGUCCGUUGCUAUGGGGCAGGGGCCUCGCACCGGGCACGGCGGGGGGCAUUGCUAUGGGGAUGGGGACGUUGCUAUGGUGA